rfam:Pan troglodytes isolate Yerkes chimp pedigree #C0471 (Clint) chromosome 19, whole genome shotgun sequence.
GCCGGGCAUGGUGGCACAUGCCUGUACUCUCAGCUACUCAGGAGGCUGAGACAGGAGGAUGGCUCGAGCCCAGGAAUUUGAGGCUGCAGUGCACUAUGAUUGCACCACUGCACUCCAGCCUGGACAACAGAGGGAGACCCUGUCUCUA